CUACGGUCGCUGCAGUGAGGAAUAUUGCACAAUGGGGGGAACCCUGAUGCAGCAACGCCGCGUGGAGGAUGACGCAUUUCGGUGUGUAAACUCCUUUUAUAUGUCAAGAAAAUGACGGUAGCAUAUGAAUAAGCACCGGCUAACUCCGUGCCAGCAGCCGCGGUAAUACGGAGGGUGCAAGCGUUACUCGGAAUCACUGGGCGUAAAGGACGCGUAGGCGGGUUGGAAAGUCAGGCGUGAAAUCCUACAGCUUAACUGUAGAACUGCACUUGAAACUUCUAAUCUAGAGUAUGGGAGGGGGAGAUGGAAUUAGUGGUGUAGGGGUAAAAUCCGUAGAUAUCACUAGGAAUACCUAAAGCGAAGGCGAUCUCCUGGAACAUUACUGACGCUAAGGCGUGAAAGCGUGGGGAGCAAACAGGAUUAGAUACCCUCGUAGUC
rnacentral:rRNA from 1 species